rnacentral:rRNA from 1 species
AUUGAACGCUGGCGGCAUGCCUUACACAUGCAAGUCGAACGGUAACAGGUCUUCGGACGCUGACGAGUGGCGAACGGGUGAGUAAUACAUCGGAACGUGCCCAGUCGUGGGGGAUAACUACUCGAAAGAGUAGCUAAUACCGCAUACGAUCUGAGGAUGAAAGCGGGGGACCUUCGGGCCUCGCGCGAUUGGAGCGGCCGAUGGCAGGUUAGGUAGUUGGUGGGAUAAAAGCUUACCAAGCCGACGAUCUGUAGCUGGUCUGAGAGGACGACCAGCCACACUGGGACUGAGACACUGCCCAGACUCCUACGGGAGGCAGCAGUGGGGAAUUUUGGACAAUGGGCGAAAGCCUGAGCCAGCAAUGCCGCGUGCAGGAUGAAGGCCUUCGGGUUGUAAACUGCUUUUGUACGGAACGAAAAAGCUCCUUCUAAUACAGGGGGCCCAUGACGGUACCGUAAGAAUAAGCACCGGCUAACUACGUGCCAGCAGCCGCCGUAA